AUGGUUUCCUGGUUUGAAAGAACAACAGGAUUUCUGACCAUGGCAGAUCUAGCCUCCGACACAUCCCUGGUUAAUGUUACAGAAGACUUCUUUGACACGGCGUUGAUUAUUUCCACGAGGAGUAGUAAAGGGAAAAUUCAGAUGCUGGAUUCCUUCAUAUUUCCCUUAGGAUCUCUGGUGACAGAAAAGACUGUAAAUCAUUUGAUUCAACGGGAGGCUUUGAAGACUUUGAACUUCAUUUUGCAGGCUGUGCCUCGGGAAGAGAGAAAACAACUCUCCUUGUCAGAAGGCCCGUGUCUUCUUAUGAAGGAUCUUGCAAGGACAAUCUUGACUGUGGGUGAUUAUGACCAGCAGGUUGCUCUCUCUGAAGCGUUGUGUAGACUGACAACGAAGAAGUCAAGGGUUGACCUUGUCCAUCAGUGGUUUGAAGAUGAUGUCAUUGCUGAAGCUUUCAAAGAAAUUAAGGAUCGAGAAUUUGAGACGGACAGUAGACAAUUUCUCAAUCAUCUAAACAACAGACUUGGUGACCAAAGAAGGGUCUAUUCGUUUCCAUGUAUGGCUGCUUUUGCUGAUGGGAAUGAGAUGAAAAAACCAGCAGAUGAAAAAUUAGAGAAAUUUUGGAUUGAUUUCAACCUAGGAAGUCAGAGUGUAACUUUUUAUAUAGACAAUACUGAGAGCGCUCUGUGGGACUCAAUUAUACUUUCGAAGGAAGCAGUGAUUAAUUUCAGCAUAAUAGAAACCGAGAGGAUGAAGAUGCUCGUCAUUAACCUGAAGCCUAUUAAUAUCAGAAACAAAGAAGUAAUGAAAAUAGAAAUCCAUUUUGAUUUGCAAUUCGACAUAUCAGAAGCUUCCAUUAAAGCAUUAGGAGAAGACAAACAGAUGUUGCCUGACCAGACAAAAUUCUCAGAACAUUUUGGUGAAUUUGCGAAAGACGACAUUGAAUUUCCCAGCAGCGACAAAAGAGAGACAGACCAAGCAGAAGAAUCUACCAAGCUGGCAGAGUUAACAAGUGCUGGAGAUGACCGCUGCCUAAUAACUCUGCCCUUUAACCAGUCUGAGCCUGCUCAAACAAGUACACCUAGUCAUUCACAUGAAAAAUCGAAACUGGAUGAUACAGAAAAAGUUGCUUCAGAACUUGAGAAUUCUUCAGAUUUACAAGAAGCUUCAGUAAAAAUUCAGGCUUCUAAAUUAAAUGACAAAUCUAGGGAAGAGUCUGCUUUUGAGGAUGACGGAAAGCAGGAAACAAGGAUGUCGAAGCUUGAUUACAGGAAACACCUCUUCUCAGAGAGUAAUCCAGAUUCAAGCACCAGUACCAGUGAGCUGCCUUGGACAAAUGACCAGAAAAGAAAAUCCCUAAAACCAUAUUCUGGUAGAAAAAAGACAAGAAUCAGAAGUAGGGUAAAAAUCUUGCCACUCUUCCCUCCCAGUAGUGGCAGUGACCGUGAGAAAGACGAAAAAAAUACCUCCAGGCAAAAUAAUGCCACACCUCCAAAAGUUUCUGGAAAAAAAUUUCAGGGUAGUUCUGUCUUUUUAACUCCUGAAGAUUCUGCCCAGAAAACAGAACUUCAAAGUCCCCACCCACUGAGCAAUCUCUCUUCCUUGGAGCACUCAGGAGUUGAAGAAAAUGUAUCUAAGACUGUGAACCAAGAGUCAUUGAUGAAAAGUACUAGCUUCAAACAUAAACUGCAAAACUUGGAAGACAGAGACAUAUCAGAUGAUAGUUUUGCUAAGUGGAAACAGUCAAAAUUGGAAGAAGAUGAUGUUCCAGGCUCCCUUUCCUCAGUGACAGAAGAAGCAGACUUGGCAGAAGGCAUUUCUACUCCAUCCCUAGAAGUUGUGCUAGAGAACUUGAAUGAUUCUUCCAUUAUCACAACCUUUGAAAACUUCACUAGAGAACUGAAAAGACAGUACGAGUUAAGGUACAGAAGGAGUCUACUUCAUUCAAAAAAUGUAAAGCAAGCACCGGAUUGCCUAAUGAAACUUUUAAACCAGAUACAUCAGUGCAGACUGAAUAAACUAGAGCAGUUUCGCACUUUUGUUCUUCAAGAGCUGAGCAACCUUGAGGAGGCUAUUCAGGAUCUGAAACACCUUGAGAAGGACGUUCUGGAAUUUUGUAGGAAACAGUCUGACGAUCUGAAAUCAUUCUGUGAUCUGCAAGUGUUGAGGCUUAAUCCCAUUCAGCCUUCAUGAGGAAAACCAAAGCCCAGUUUUAUUAUCGCAUUCCUGGG
rnacentral:lncRNA from 1 species